GUGGAAGCUGGCUUGCCUGCGAUGACUGAAUCACAGCUAGCCCAUCAGGUGACUGGCACACCGCAAUCGCAGGCAAGCCGGCUCCCAC
rnacentral:misc_RNA from 1 species